rnacentral:rRNA from 1 species
ACCUUUUGCAUCAUGAUUUAGCCAGCAUCCUUUAAGCAAAGAGACCUUUAGUUUAAAACCCCGAAACUGAGUGAGCUACUCCAAGACAGCCUAAAAUAUAGGGCGAACCCGUCUCUGUGGCAAAAGAGUGGGACGAGCUUCGAGUAGAGGUGACAGACCUAUCGAACUCAGUUAUAGCUGGUUGCCUGUGAAUUGGAUAGAAGUUCAGCCUCCCGGCUUCUCCCUAAACCGUGAGAGUUAGUCAAAGGAGGAACAGCUCCUUUGAACAAAGAUACAACUUUACCAGGAGGGUAAAGAUCAUAAUCUUCAAGGCAAAAUGUUUUAGUGGGCCUAAAAGCAGCCACCAUAAUAGAAAGCGUUAAAGCUCAAACAUAUAUUCUGAUAAUUCAAUCUUAACCCCCUAAUUCUACCAGGCCGCCCCAUGCAAACAUGGGGGCGACUAUGCUAAUAUGAGUAAUAAGAGAGUACUCUCUCCCUGCACACGCAUAAAUCGGAACGGACCAACCACCGAACAUUAACGGCCCCAAACGAAGAGGGUACUGGAUAUUAACUAGAAAUUCAUCCACCGUUAACCCCACACAGGUGUGCUUUUAAGGAAAGACCUAAAGAAAGAGAAGGAACUCGGCAAACAAGCCUCGCCUGUUUACCAAAAACAUCGCCUCUUGCAAGAAUAAGAG